rnacentral:miRNA from 1 species
GUAGGAGUGAAUUUUGAUUUU